rnacentral:misc_RNA from 1 species
GUAGUUGUCCGAAGCACUGCUCCGUAUUUUCUAUCACACAAACCCCGUCCCCUCUCCGUUCACUCAUCCUCAGUUGAUCUAGGCCCGAGCUCUUUGCCGACCAUCCAACGUGCAAAGCGACGCUAAGCGAAACAGCCAACCAAACAACUCCCCUCCCCUCCCCACGCAAAAAAGGUGUGCUUUCUCAUCUAUUCAUUUGAGCUGUGGCUGCUUUGCGCAUCAGUCUCUCUCUCUACAUAUAUAUAUAUAUAUGCGCGCUCUCUGCCCUUCCCCCAUACACCCUCUCCCGCUUAUCACACCACCCCUUGCUUACAGACUUUGCGUUCGCGUUAAGCGAAGCCGAAAGAGCCCCUUAUUCACUGGCGCUUAGUCCCAUCAUACACCCCACACCCUUUUCACACACACACACAGAACGAAUCCCUUAUUCUCUAUGUCGAACGACCUCGGUAUUAUCGGCCUCGGUGUCAUGGGCGCGAAUCUCGCCCUGAACAUCGCCGAGAAGGGAUUCAAAGUUGCCGUCUUCAACCGCACCUCCGCGAAGACGGCGUCGUUUCUCAAGGAGCAUGAGAGCGAGAAAUUUGCCGCCAACCUGAAUGGCUACGAGACCAUGAAGGCGUUCGCUGUGUCCCUCAAGAAGCCGCGCCGCGCGUUCAUUCUCGUCCAGGCCGGCGCCGCUACGGACUCUACGAUCGAGCAGCUCAAGGAAGUGCUCGAGAAUGGCGACAUCAUAAUUGACACUGGCAAUGCGAACUUCAAGGACCAGGACAAGCGUGCCGCGCAGUUGGAGAGCCAGGGUCUCCGCUUCCUCGGCAUGGGCAUCUCCGGUGGUGAGGAGGGUGCGCGCAAGGGGCCGGCCUUCUUCCCGGGUGGCACACCAAGCGUGUGGGAGGAGGUGCGCCCGAUCGUGGAGGCGGCUGCGGCCAAGGCUGAGGACGGUCGCCCGUGCGUGACUUUCAACGGCAAGGGCGGCGCUGGAUCCUGCGUGAAGAUGUAUCACAACGCUGGUGAGUACGCCGUGCUGCAGAUCUGGGGUGAGGCGUACACCGCCCUGCUUGCCUUCGGCUUCGACAACGAUCAGAUCGCCGACGUGUUCGAGUCGUGGAAGGCGGAUGGCUUCCUCAAAUCCUACAUGCUCGACAUUUCCAUUGCCGCUUGCCGCGCGAGAGAGGCAGCAGGUAACUAUCUGUCAGAGAAGGUCAAGGACCGCAUCGGCUCCAAGGGCACUGGCCUGUGGUCUGCCCAGGAGGCUCUGGAGGUUGGCGUGCCAGCGCCCUCGCUCAGCAUGGCCGUCAUCUCACGCCAGAUGACCAUGUGCAAAGAGGAGCGUAUUGCGAACUGCAAGGCAUUCCCCAACUUCCCUCGUGGCCCGUCUGCGGAAGCCAGGGACAAGUCCCCGAACUCCCCCGACGCGAAGCAGCUGUACCACGCCGUCAGCCUCUGCAUCAUCGCGAGCUACGCGCAGAUGUUCCAGUGCUUGCGCGAGUUGGACAAGGUGUACGGAUUUGGCCUGAACCUGCCUGCCACCAUCGCCACCUUCCGCGCCGGCUGCAUUCUUCAGGGCUACCUGCUGGGGCCCAUGACGAAGGCCUUCGAGGAGAACCCGAGCCUGCCCAACCUGAUGGACGCUUUCACCAAGGAGAUAGUGGCGGGCCUUGAUGACUGCCGCCAGAUUCUCGCCAAGCUCACAGUGAACACGGCAGUGUCACUGCCGGUCAUGAUGGCCUCACUGUCCUACAUCAACGCCAUGUACACGGAGACUCUUCCGUACGGACAGCUGGUGUCGUUGCAGCGCGACGUCUUUGGCCGCCACGGCUACGAGCGCACGGACAAGGACGGCCGUGAGUCGUUUGAAUGGCCCGCACUGCAGUAGACAGCCGCUCUCACCUAGCCGCUCUCAGCUAGCCGCUCAACCGGUUCCCUUCUCCCCCUCUGCCAG